CCUACGGGAGGCAGCAGUCGAGAAUCAUUCACAAUGGGGGAAACCCUGAUGGUGCGACGCCGCGUGGGGGAAUGAAGGUCUUCGGAUUGUAAACCCCUGUCAUGUGGGAGCAAAUUAAAAAGAUAGUACCACAAGAGGAAGAGACGGCUAACUCUGUGCCAGCAGCCGCGGUAAUACAGAGGUUUCAAGCGUUGUUCGGAAUCACUGGGCGUAAAGCGUGCGUAGGCUGUUUCGUAAGUCGUGUGUGAAAGGCGCGGGCUCAACCCGCGGACGGCACAUGAUACUGCGAGACUAGAGUAAGGGAGGGGGAACCGGAAUUCUCGGUGUAGCAGUGAAAUGCGUAGAUAUCGAGAGGAACACUCGUGGCGAAGGCGGGUUCCUGGACAUUAACUGACGCUGAGGCACGAAGGCCAGGGGAGCGAAAGGGAUUAGAUACCCUUGUAGUC
rnacentral:rRNA from 1 species